GUGCUAACUUGUGGUUUUAUUGUCAGUGUUGGCUGCGGAUGGACGAGGAGUUGAACCCAGUUUAUGGAGUAGUCUUGCAAAGUGAAGUCCUGUUCCACACUAACAGAAGCAACACCAAAAGCACUGCUGCAAGGAGCCGCCGGGAGCUCCAGGGUGAAGAGACCUGCCUCCCCUGGGAGACCUCUGCUAAAGGUGAAGACCUCCAAGCAGACCAGGCAGAUUUAGCAGGAGCUCAGGAAUUUUACAUCAAGGCCUGGGAGGGGAAGGUGAAGAAAAUGCCUGCUGUUCUGGCUGGGAAGAGUUUGAGAAGGCAGACCGGUGGAGAGCUGUGCUGGAAGAGGAGCGUCUGUUCAGUGGUCAGGGAGGGGGAGAAAACAAGGGGUGCGAGUCUCCAGGCUUUAGGGUUGGGCAUUCAUCUGUCUUCAUUUAUACUAAUUUUUCAUAACCAUAGUUAUGUGAAUUCUUUGCACGUUUUACAUUAGAGCAUUGGCUAAAAGCCACAAGCAGUUGUGGAAGCAGGGUCUGAGAUCUUAUCUGCCCCACAAACUUCCAGCUGCUAGGCCUAUAAGCUGCCCAAGGUAUAAGUGCACUCAUGUUCAGGAACAUUGUAUGGAAUAAGUCCUGAAGAGUUAUUCAUACAAGGGCUUUUUGCCUUGCUCCAUUAAAUAAUUAAGCCUCUCUUCCUGGAGAGGCUUCUUCAUCUGUGCCAGCAAAAUGCUUCUGGUUUCUUGUAUGAAGACUGUGAGACUGGGUUCUGUACAAAGUCACACUUGUUGGUUUUAUAUGGAUACAAUUUCUAGUCAUUAAAUUAACAAUCUUUCUAAGAUUGAAAUCUAAAUUUAUUUUACGCUGUACUAAAAAGGCUUGAAGUUUAGUAGGCUGUCUUCAGACUCAUUAGCCUUGAAAUGAUAACCAAUGCCAUUGCAUACGAAGCUAGUUUUUGUCUGGGAUUCAUUGUGCUGAAUAUCUUCAGCUCUUGCGUACAGUUCUGGGAUCUGAGAGUUGCUCUGAAACUCUGGAUUAUGGGUGGGGACCGGAGACAUGAAGUCUCAAAGGUUUUCCGUCUCAGCUCCCAGCGAACUCGCUGGCAGCGGGGCGGUUUUCGAGUGGGAGCCUGCACGCUCUAGUGUCUGCGAAGAACCGCUUCAUGUUCUGACAGUCGCACCUUGACUUGCUUUCUAGUUGUGUCUUGCAGCUCAACAUAAACACCUUCUUGUGUAGGGAGAUGUAAGAGAGCGGAAAACAGUCUUUGAAGAAUAAAAAGACCAAAACAAUGGGCUCUAGAGAGCUU
rnacentral:lncRNA from 1 species